UAAUUAUGCAUAUUGAAAAAGAUUAGUUGCGAACAGCUUAUAUCAUCCGGGAAUAUUCCACACGCUAUGCGUUCAGUUCGGGUUGACAUUCUCUACGAAUUGGAAGGUUCAGAUUUUAGUCAGAACAUUCUGUUACUUCAAAUAUGGUGGCGUUAUUCAAAGCUGUUUCUAUUUUUCUAAUAAUUUGUUCGAUAUUUUUGGUUGCUGCUAACCGUGACAUGCAGCGAAAUCAUGGCAAUGUCGCAACAUAUGCACAUGCCCGACCGGAGGUUUACUUUGUAACCUAUGGUGGAAAAAGUAACUCGAAAACGGGUCUGGCUUCGCCUAACAUUCCUCGACCGAUAGUGUUUUAAAGUGUUAGAGAAUUCGAUUUUUAAAAGUAUAAAGUAGAGGGAUAUUUUUACGCUAAAGAAAAAAUGGUUUGAGGUGUAACAAAACGGUUGUGAUGAGAGUUGGGCAAAAUUGUAAAUUGACGCGUGCUUUGUUUUGAAUCCGGAUCAAAUGAAUAUUUCGGAGUUGGUUUGACUUACACGCUCGUAAAUAAUAGGGGUCUUCACAUCGAGCUCGUAUACGAAUACCCAGCCGUAAACUGUGUAUCUUCCAUUACUCGUCAAUGGAGGUGAGUAUUUUUACGGCUGGGUAUUUGUUUACGAGCUCGACAUGAAUACCCAUAAUAACUCUAAAAUGAGUAACAUUUGACGCAGUUCCGUAAAAAGUGGAACAACUCUUAAAUUGAGUAACUCCACAAAUACUCAAAACUGAGUAACACUAGGCGUCUUUAAAAUGAGUCAUUAUUACUCAAAAUUUGAGUACGACAUUACUCAUUUUUUUGGGUACAGUUCAGUUUCAUUACUGGCUAGAAAUUCGCCACGGCCAAUAAACGACACCACAUGUUCAGCAAUAAUAACCUUGUAAUAAAAGUAAACAGUUAGAAUGCCUUCUGAGGCGCACACAAUUAAAAAACAUAUGUUACAAACUGAAGCACAUCAUAAUCACCUUUCAAAAUGGACGUCGUCAUAUGCGACGUUACUCAGAAAGAAGUUAUAUGAAGGGAACCCAAAAAGUGAGUCAAAGUUACUCAAAAUCAAAAAGGACUUUUACUCAUUUUUUGACGUCUACGAACAUCGUUCUAAACUGAGUCAAAGUUGCCCAGUUCAUGAGUUAUUAUUUACGAGCGUGUAGGUUUGACUAAUGUUAAGUACCUAGUGGAAAUCAGAGUCUAUGUUUAAGAGUCCCGCAAAGAUGAAACCAAAGGAACCAAAUCAGUGUCAAACGAGGGUACCAAUCGAGCAAUGUAAAUAAAUAAGGUGAUAAUGUUAGGAGUGCAUGAAAAGUGUUGUAAUUGAGCGUAAUAAAGAAUAUGUGUUUUUCCGAAGUUUA